UCCGAUUUGUCACCGGCAGUCUCCUAUGAGUCCCCGUCUUUCACGCUGGCAACAUAGGACAGGGGUUGCGCUCGUCGCGGGACUUAACCCAACAUCUCACGACACGAGCUGACGACAGCCAUGCACCACCUGUGCAGGGACUCCGAAGAGGGCCUCCCCUUUCUGGGAGGUUUCCCCUGCAUGUCAAGCCCAGGUAAGGUUCUUCGCGUUGCGUCGAAUUAAACCACAUGCUCCACCGCUUGUGCGGGCCCCCGUCAAUUCCUUUGAGUUUCAGCCUUGCGGCCGUACUCCCCAGGCGGGGCACUUACUGCGUUAGCGACGGCACCGGGAGGGUCGCUCCCCCCGACGCCUAGUGCCCAUCGUUUACGGCGUGGACUAC
rnacentral:misc_RNA from 1 species